rnacentral:rRNA from 1 species
GCCCUUGCGGCGUGCUAUACAUGCAGUCGAACGAGUUCUCGUUGAUGAUCGGUGCUUGCACCGAGAUUCAACAUGGAACGAGUGGCGGACGGGUGAGUAACACGUGGGUAACCUGCCCUUAAGUGGGGGAUAACAUUUGGAAACAGAUGCUAAUACCGCAUAGAUCCAAGAACCGCAUGGUUCUUGGCUGAAAGAUGGCGUAAGCUAUCGCUUUUGGAUGGACCCGCGGCGUAUUAGCUAGUUGGUGAGGUAAUGGCUCACCAAGGCGAUGAUACGUAGCCGAACUGAGAGGUUGAUCGGCCACAUUGGGACUGAGACACGGCCCAAACUCCUACGGGAGGCAGCAGUAGGGAAUCUUCCACAAUGGACGCAAGUCUGAUGGAGCAACGCCGCGUGAGUGAAGAAGGCUUUCGGGUCGUAAAACUCUGUUGUUGGAGAAGAAUGGUCGGCAGAGUAACUGUUGUCGGCGUGACGGUAUCCAACCAGAAAGCCACGGCUAACUACGUGCCAGCAGCCGCGGUAAUACGUAGGUGGCAAGCGUUAUCCGGAUUUAUUGGGCGUAAAGCGAGCGCAGGCGGUUUUUUAAGUCUGAUGUGAAAGCCCUCGGCUUAACCGAGGAAGCGCAUCGGAAACUGGGAAACUUGAGUGCAGAAGAGGACAGUGGAACUCCAUGUGUAGCGGUGAAAUGCGUAGAUAUAUGGAAGAACACCAGUGGCGAAGGCGGCUGUCUGGUCUGUAACUGACGCUGAGGCUCGAAAGCAUGGGUAGCGAACAGGAUUAGAUACCCUGGUAGUCCAUGCCGUAAACGAUGAAUGCUAGGUGUUGGAGGGUUUCCGCCCUUCAGUGCCGCAGCUAACGCAUUAAGCAUUCCGCCUGGGGAGUACGACCGCAAGGUUGAAACUCAAAGGAAUUGACGGGGGCCCGCACAAGCGGUGGAGCAUGUGGUUUAAUUCGAAGCAACGCGAAGAACCUUACCAGGUCUUGACAUCUUUUGAUCACCUGAGAGAUCAGGUUUCCCCUUCGGGGGCAAAAUGACAGGUGGUGCAUGGUUGUCGUCAGCUCGUGUCGUGAGAUGUUGGGUUAAGUCCCGCAACGAGCGCAACCCUUAUGACUAGUUGCCAGCAUUUAGUUGGGCACUCUAGUAAGACUGCCGGUGACAAACCGGAGGAAGGUGGGGAUGACGUCAAAUCAUCAUGCCCCUUAUGACCUGGGCUACACACGUGCUACAAUGGAUGGUACAACGAGUUGCGAGACCGCGAGGUCAAGCUAAUCUCUUAAAGCCAUUCUCAGUUCGGACUGUAGGCUGCAACUCGCCUACACGAAGUCGGAAUCGCUAGUAAUCGCGGAUCAGCACGCCGCGGUGAAUACGUUCCCGGGCCUUGUACACACCGCCCGUCACACCAUGAGAGUUUGUAACACCCGAAGCCGGUGGCGUAACCCUUUUAGGGAGCGAGCCGUCUAAGGUGGACAAAAAUG